rnacentral:rRNA from 1 species
GAUGAACGCUGGCGGCGUGCCUAAUACAUGCAAGUCGAGCGAAUGGAUUAAGAGCUUGCUCUUAUGAAGUUAGCGGCGGACGGGUGAGUAACACGUGGGUAACCUGCCCAUAAGACUGGGAUAAUUCCGGGAAACCGGGGCUCAUACCGGAUAACAUUUUGAACCGCAUGGUUCGAAAUUGAAAGGCGGCUUCGGCUGUCACUUAUGGAUGGACCCGCGUCGCAUUAGCUAGUUGGUGAGGUAACGGCUAACCAAGGCAACGAUGCGUAGCCGACCUGAGAGGGUGAUCGGCCACACUGGGACUGAGACACGGCACAGACUCCUACGGGAGGCAGCAGUAGGGAAUCUUCCGCAAUGGACGAAAGUCUGACGGAGCAACGCCGCGUGAGUGAUGAAGGCUUUCGGGUCGUAAAACUCUGUUGUUAGGGAAGAACAAGUGCUAGUUGAAUAAGCUGGCACCUUGACGGUACCUAACCAGAAAGCCACGGCUAACUACGUGCCAGCCGCCGCAGUAA